rnacentral:lncRNA from 1 species
AGUAUAUGUAGUAAUCAUUUCAUUUUGUGUUUCUGCAGAAUAGCUUUGCCAGAGUCAUCAUUCAAGUAGCUUAUUAGGUGUUACCUGCUUCUCUUGCUAAGUGUAGAGCUGCAGAGUUAAUAUCCUGGUGCUGCUUGUACCUGGUGAUGACGGAAGAAUUAAAUCAUUACAACCCUUUUCUUCAUGAAAACCCCUGGUGUUGAGUUUAGCAACACGUACAGGGUUACUUUCAAUAUUAUUUUGCAUUUUGUUUUUCCUCCUUAUCUGCUUCUAAAAUUGCCUUGAAAAACAGGUGGCAUUUGUAAUCCACUUAACUCAUCUCUGCACCAAGCAACCCAUAAAGAGGUAAUGAAAUUAAAUGUCUCUUUGGCCAUUAGGACAAAUAAUAAAUGGCUCUGGCUUGAGGAAGGAGCAACACUGAUCUGAGUUGCUUUAGAGGAGCUAGGAAGACAGGUCCUUUAGAAGCAAAUAACUCUUGGAGAUCGCUGGGGGCAAAAGAAACUCUCCAGGGCUGCCUCCUUUCAAGGUGUAUGGCGUGUUUGAUCUCUGAGCUGUGCAGGCUGGUGUGAUGUGGGUACAUAAAUCUUCACACAACUUUUUUUCCAUCCCCUUUGUAACAGAUAAUGACCCCAGGGAUAAUUAGUUUGAAGAAAAGUCAUUUAAAAAAAGCGGUUUGAUCAAGGCAGAUGAAAUGGGUCUUCAGUGGGCAUAAAUUGAAAUAAAGGAAAUUCCAUUUAAUUAUUAGAAAACAACCCAUUUAUAACCUAUCUGUAAUUGUGUUCAGACACUGGCACAGGUUUCUCGAAGAGGUUAUGAAGUCUCAUCCAUGGAGAUACUCAGAUUCCAAGAGGACUGUGCUGAGCAGCCUGCUGGAGGCCAUGACCAUCAUCUCCAGAGGUGCAGUGACUGCAGUUCUGUGAAACAUCCACGGAGUAAAGUGAUGAGUCAGGUUGGCAAGGGAUGAACUGCCUCUGGGAGAAAGCUGUUUUCUGGAGUACUGGACCCAUAAUGUGAAGGUUUGUUACACAGAUACAAGAUAAAAUAUUUGGGGCAGUUGUUUUCUGUUUGGUUUUCAGAUGGACCUAUUCAACUGUAAACAUAACAAUUCUUUUAGAGCUUGCAGUGGGGAAAAAACAAAAGACAAAUUAUUAUGCUCUGGAAGAAAGUAAUCUUUGUUUUUAUAUAUAAAAAAAAAGGUUUCAUUAAGAAAAUUGCUGGCCAUAUCAAUGGACAUGCCAUGGAGGCACACUCAGCUUUACAGUCCAGUUGUUAGUGUGCAAAGC